UACAGAGGGUGCAAGCGUUAAUCGGAAUUACUGGGCGUAAAGCGUGCGCAGGCGGUUCGUUGUGUCGGUGGUGAAAUCCCCGGGCUUAACCUGGGAAUGGCCAUGGAAACUGGCGAACUGGAGUGCGGCAGAGGGGGGUGGAAUUCCGCGUGUAGCAGUGAAAUGCGUAGAGAUGCGGAGGAACACCGAUGGCGAAGGCAGCCCCCUGGGCUAGCACUGACGCUCAGGCACGAAAGCGUGGGGAGCAAACAGG
rnacentral:rRNA from 1 species